rnacentral:rRNA from 1 species
CAGUAGCCGCGGGAAUACGAAGGGGGCUAGCGUUGUUCGGAAUUACUGGGCGUAAAGCGCACGUAGGCGGAUAUUUAAGUCAGGGGUGAAAUCCCAGAGCUCAACCCUGGAACUGCCUUUGAUACUGGGUAUCUUGAGUAUGGAAGAGGUGAGUGGAAUUCCGAGUGUAGAGGUGAAAUUCGUAAAUAUUCGGAGGAACACCAGCGGCGAAGGCGGCUCACUGGUCCAUUACUGACGCUGAGGUGCGAAAGCGUGGGGAGCAAACAGGAUUAGAUACCCCGGUAGUCCCUGUCUCUUAUAC